rnacentral:rRNA from 1 species
AACGAACGCUGGCGGCAGGCUUAACACAUGCAAGUCGCAGGGGAAGCAGCUCUUCGGGGCUGUGGAGACUGGCGCACGGGUGAGUAACGCGUGGGAAUUUGCCCUGGGUGGGGGAUAACCGCUGGAAACGGCGGCUAAUACCGCAUACGCCUUGAGAGGGAAAGCUUUCGAGUGCCCUGGGAGGAGCCCGCGUCCGAUUAGCUUGUUGGUGGGUAAAGGCCUACCAAGGCUACGAUCGGUAGCUGGUCUGAGAGGAUGAUCAGCCACACUGGGACUGAGACACGGCCCAGACUCCUACGGGAGGCAGCAGUGGGGAAUAUUGGACAAUGGGCGCAAGCCUGAUCCAGCCAUGCCGCGUGAGUGAAGAAGGCCUUAGGGUUGUAAAGCUCUUUCACCCGUGAAGAUGAUGACGGUAGCGGGAGAAGAAGCCCCGGCUAACUCCGUG